UGGGGAAUAUUGGACAAUGGGCGCAAGCCUGAUCCAGCAAUGCCGCGUGUGUGAAGAAGGCCUUCGGGUUGUAAAGCACUUUUAUCAGGAGCGAAACGCUGUCGGCUAAUACCCGGCGGAACUGACGGUACCUGAGGAAUAAGCACCGGCUAACUUCGUGCCAGCAGCCGCGGUAAUACGAAGGGUGCAAGCGUUAAUCGGAAUUACUGGGCGUAAAGCGUGCGUAGGCGGUUUCUUAAGUCUGCUGUGAAAUCCCCGGGCUCAACCUGGGAAUGGCGGUGGAUACUGGGAGGCUAGAGUGUGUCAGAGGGUGGUGGAAUUCCCGGUGUAGCGGUGAAAUGCGUAGAGAUCGGGAGGAACAUCAGUGGCGAAGGCGGCCACCUGGGACAACACUGACGCUGAGGCACGAAAGCGUGGGGAGCAAACAGGAUUAGAUACCCUGGUAGUCCACGCCCUAAAAGCGAUGCGAACUGGAUGUUGGUCUCAACUCGGAGAUCAGUGUCGAAGCUAACGCGUUAAGUUCGCCGCCUGGGGAGUACGGUCGCAAGACUGAAACUCAAAUGAAUUGACGGGGUCAUAGCUGUUUCCUG
rnacentral:rRNA from 1 species